CGCCUCGUGGCGAGGGAGCCCCGCGCGAUCGUACGCGAUUCGCUUAGAGCCGGCUGCAGUUGAGCGCCCUCGAACACGACCGGGUAGGCCUCGCAUUACCUCCGUUUUGGCAGAUUCGUCCCCGGAACCGCUGGACUCCUCCGUUCUUCUGACCCGGGAAAUGUGAAGAAGUGAUGAGGCUCCGACGACCUUCCAGCGGACGGCACCGAGAGCUUGAGAGAGGCUUGGAUGACAGACUAUGGGGAGAAAGAAGGGGAAAAAUCGGAACUGUGGUAUUGAACAUGAAAAGAAAAUAAUAAUUGAACCUACAUGAAAGAAUGAGAAUAUAAAACAUGGCAGCAACAUUGAAGCAAUCAGUAUGCCUCACUGGAUCCCAUAUUAAAUGGAUAUGACAAGACAAAUGGAAGAGUGAUCGUUUUCCAAUAUGAAAUUAAUUUUAAACAAAUACUUUAGUUUGAUGUUGAUGUAAUUUUAAAUUUAAAAAAACAUAUAUAGGACAAUUAACACGUCAGCAUUUUCCUAAGGAUAUUUUUUCCCCAUAUUUUUUCUCAGAUUUCCGGGAAAGAGUAACUUUUUUUCAGUUAGCUUGUUUUCUUGUUUCUGCAUGAAGAUUGGGCAAGGAAAGCAGACUUGCUAUGAUAGAUAACAUGGUUGUACAAAGACUGUUUUCCUACAUCUUUAUAAAAUCACAACCAUGGUUGACUUUUGUAUAUGUAUAUCUUUGUUUUUAAAGGUAUUCUAAGCCUUAGUGAGUACUGAAUCAAAUUGAAGUCUGUACUCAUGAACUGUCAUUUAUUUAUACUAUGUGAGAGAUUGAAUACCAGCCUGUAUAUAUUUGAAUUCCAUUAAAUUUCAUUUCUUGUUUUACAUUAUAGAA